rnacentral:lncRNA from 1 species
AUCAUCACUUUGCAGCUCACCAUUGAUUUUAUUGGCUGUUUCCUCAGGGCGCUGAAUUAUGGUGGGUUCAGUGUAUCGUUAAUUAAAGCUAGGCUUUGUAUUCGGAGGUCCAAGGCCAACCUGUACAACUCAGAAUUCAACAUCAAGCUCAAAUGUGAAGCCAAUUGAUUUCUUUUUUAACCUUCUGUGAUUUUCAGGUUAUGCCUAGCCCUGUGAUGCUACCUCCAUUGGCGCCUGAGCCUCCUCCUAUACCCACCCCUCCUCCAGUUGUGGAGACUGGCCCAAUUUCAUAUGAGGAGCCGGUUGAGGAAGAGGAGGAGGAAGAGGCAGAGGAGCCCUGUGUCAGUGCCAUGGAGCUUAUGGGAGAGAACGAAUAUGGCUGUGAGGCUGAAGAGGAGGAGGUUUUCUAGUCUGCAGUAUUCUUCCCCCCUCUCUCCAGCGAGUGAUGCUUUUCAUCAGACCCAGAAACCUUGCCUUCCUCCCUGUGGAGACAGGAGAACAGGAGAACAGGAGAAGACGUGUGUGCUAUUGUUGUUGCCAUGAAAUAUUCCUAUAUCCCUGCUUCUUAUGCGCCGGCAGACUUGUUGAGCUCCAGCGCAUCUGCAUCUGGCACAGUGAAGGGACAUUUGGGGUUGAACUCAACACGUGAGCGAGACGUGGCUUUAGAUUGUGUUUCGGACCAUUAGUCUCACGUUAAUCCAGCAGCUGUACGUUCCUGUAGUCACUUUAUGGAAGGGAUGUUUACCAGACCAAGCCCAUGCCUAAGAGGAAACCUAAUAAGCUGUUAAGCAUCCUGUUAUGCCAGUGAUAUAGCUGGACACUAAGCCCAGGCAGAUGUGUUCAUUAGUGAAGUGUACACCUCUGUCUCACUCACACAUUUUUUUUUUUUUUUUGCAAGGGUUGUUAUCUCUCUGGAUGAAUUGUUCUGCGUCCACAUUUGUUUUUAAGGUCAUUCGCACUCAACCUGUUUUUGUUCUUGAAUUUUAUGACAGCCGUUUCUGAUGUUCCAGAAGCACAAGUAGGCUCUUAACCAAUGUGUUUGUAAUAGAUGUUUUACUGAAAAAAAAAAUGUGAAUAGAUGUUUUAUUUGUGUGCUCUUGUAGUGUUUUAUCUUUUUUAAUGUUUUAAUGUUUUGAUGUUUUAGCUUUUUUUGUUUUUUACUCACAUGGCAGCAUAAGAAAAUGAAUAUGUAUAUAAAUGUAAAUCUGUGUUAUAUAACCAUUUUAUGUGUCACUUGCCGCAUUCCAUUGAAGGUAAUAAUAUUUAAAUGAUAUACACUAUGUUGGUAUAUUGUACAGUACCAUUGUGGUUUAGAUUUGUAUCUGUUGCAGCUGUUGAUGUUUAAUUUUCAGAGAAAUUUUAGUGACUCAGAAAGGAACUGCUGCUAGCCAUUCCUAUUGUUAUUAAAAUGAAAUUUUGUUUAAGAAGAAAAGAGUUAUGUAUUCAAUAUAACCACAGUGCUUAAUGUAGUGUUUAUUUAGCCAGUGGGUGAUACAGUUUGUGUCCAAGCUACAGUUAGCGUUUAUUCAUUUGUAUGAAUUUA